rnacentral:lncRNA from 1 species
UAAGAGGGAAAAAUAAGAAAUUAAAAAGAAGCGACACGCGCUCCGUAUCAUUUUCCAAUUGGCGCUCGUUCACCGCGGCCGUGCAGUCGAUCCGACAACAGUUGCAGCAGCAGCAGCAGCAGCAGCAGCAGCCGCCGCCGCCGCCGCCGCCGCAGCAGCCGCAUUCGAAUUAAUCUCUACGGCCGCCACUAUUACCACACGCCGUCGCCGCCACAACCACUUCUACGUCGCGGCUGGUACAACUGCCGUUGCCACAAUUGUCGCUGACUACUGAUACGGUCGCCGCUGAUAACUCGUGGUUCUCACAUGACGGCGAUGAUAGUAUGAUACAAUAAACAGUCGUCGACCGUCGGCAUCCGAACGUUUCUCAUUAGAGUCGAAAAGCCUUCGACUUUACGCGCCUCCACUCGGCCGUGUUGAAACAUAGCACUCGCAUCACCACGAAUCAUCCGUCCGCCAUCAUGUCGUCGCCAACCAACUCCGUCCCAUAUGGCGUACAAAUUCUGCAAAAGAUUUCUAACAAGUGUCCCCGGCUCACCAGAAUCGUCGACCGUGAAA